ACUCCUACCGGAGGCAGCAGUGGGGAAUAUUGCACAAUGGGCGAAAGCCUGAUGCAGCGACGCCGCGUGGGGGAUGACGGUCUUCGGAUUGUAAACCCCUUUCAGUAGGGACGAAGCGCAAGUGACGGUACCUGCAGAAGAAGCACCGGCUAACUACGUGCCAGCAGCCGCGGUAAUACGUAGGGUGCGAGCGUUGUCCGGAAUUACUGGGCGUAAAGAGCUCGUAGGCGGUUUGUCACGUCGUCUGUGAAAUCCCUCGGCUUAACCGGGGGCGUGCAGGCGAUACGGGCAGACUUGAGUACUACAGGGGAGACUGGAAUUCCUGGUGUAGCGGUGAAAUGCGCAGAUAUCAGGAGGAACACCGGUGGCGAAGGCGGGUCUCUGGGUAGUAACUGACGCUGAGGAGCGAAAGCAUGGGUAGCGAACAGGAUUAGAUACCCUGGUAGUCCAUGCCGUAAACGGUGGGCGCUAGGUGUGGGGUCCUUCCACGGACUCCGUGCCGUAGCUAACGCAUUAAGCGCCCCGCCUGGGGAGUACGGCCGCAAGGCUAAAACUCAAAGGAAUUGACGGGGGCCCGCACAAGCGGCGGAGCAUGUGGAUUAAUUCGAUGCAACGCGAAGAACCUUACCUAGGCUUGACAUAUAC
rnacentral:rRNA from 1 species